CCCUUAGAUGUUCUGGGCCGCACGCGCGCUACGCUGACAGGGCCAGCGAGUACAUCACCUUGGCCGAGAGGUCUGGGUAAUCUUGUUAAACCCUGUCGUGCUGGGGAUAGAGCAUUGCAAUUAUUAAUCUUCAACGAGGAAUGCCUAGUAAGCGCAAGUCAUCAGCUUGCGUUGAUUACGUCCCUGCCCUUUGUACACACCGCCCGUCGCUCCUACCGAUUGAAUGGUCCGGUGAAGCGUUCGGACCGUGGCCUUUGGACGGUUCGCCGUCUGUUGGCUGCAGGAAGUUCGUUAAACCUUAUCAUUUAGAGGAAGGAGAAGUCGUAACA
rnacentral:rRNA from 1 species